rnacentral:rRNA from 1 species
UACGUAGGUGGCAAGCGUUGUCCGGAUUUACUGGGUGUAAAGGGCGUGUAGCCGGGUUGACAAGUCAGAUGUGAAAUCCUGCGGCUUAACCGCAGAACUGCAUUUGAAACUGUUGAUCUUGAGUACUGGAGAGGCAGACGGAAUUCCUAGUGUAGCGGUGAAAUGCGUAGAGAUAUGGAGGAACACCAGUGGCGAAGGCGGCUUCCUGGUCUGUAACUGACACUGAGGCGCGAAAGCGUGGGGAGCAAACAGG